rnacentral:rRNA from 1 species
AACGAACGCUGGCGGCAGGCUUAAAACAUGAAAGUCGAGCGCCCCGAAAGGGGAGCGGCAGACGGGUGAGUAACGCGUGGGAAUCUACUCAUCACUACGGAAUAACGCAUGGAAACGUGCGCUAAUACAGUAAACGACCUUUCGGAGUUAGAUUUAUCGGAGGUGGAUGACCCAGAGUUCGAUUAGCUAGUUGGUGGGGUAAAGGCCUACCAAGUCGACGAUCCAUAGCUGGUCUGAGAGGUUGAUCAACCACACUGGGACUGAGACAGGUCCCAGACUCCUACGGGAGGCAGUAGUCGUGAAUAUUAGACAAUGGGCGCAAGCCUGAUCCAGCCAUGCCACGUGAUUUAUGAAGGCCCUAGGGUUGUAAAGCUCUUUCACCGGUGAAGAUAAUGACGGUAGCCGGAGAAGAAGCCCCGGCUAACUUCGUGCCAGCCGCCGCUGUAAGAC